ACGCUCAAAUAGAGCUUUUUUUAAGAAUACUUGAGGCCCGGGAGAUGUAAACAGAUCAGCUAUGUCUGAAAGGAACGGGAUGGCACUUAAUGUUGAUAAAUUUUUUAUUUUUUAAAUUCUUGAAGUGAAUGGUGAAAAAAGUCGGGCGCCUAAUCGUUAAAAGCCUUCAAAAGUCAAAAUGUGAUAAAACAAAUAUGAAUGUAACGUUUUGUACUACAAUGACAAUAAUCUUAGCAGGCGAAUCGUUUUGUAGACUAGAAAAGUACGUAAUUUAUUUUUAUUAAAUGAUCCUACAAAUACUAAAACUUGUAAAAAUGCUUUUAAGCAAUUUCUGAUCAAUUAAAAUUUCACGCAUGUCAAACCAUUUAGAAAUGUUUAUGUUGUUAAAGC